rnacentral:misc_RNA from 1 species
CCCACCUAACAACCUGGAUCCGGAGGUAACGCAGCUACCGCUAAAAGUGUCCCAUGUCAGAACUGCGCUGCUACGACUGCGUAACACCAAAACAGAGAAAUGGCGACCGCAAUGAAGCUACCCCGGUGUGGUGUGUGUGGCAUCUCUUUCACAUAUGGCGGCCCAGACCCCCACCUCCUGCCCUGUCUCCAUUCAGUGUGCCAGGAAUGUCUAAAUCUUGGCACCUCUGAUACUCUGACCUGUGACAUCUGUCAGGAAACAUUCGACAAAGAACAAACUGAUUUUCCUACCGAUGUCGUUGCCAUCAAAGAUAUCUUUCUCCAAACUGCUGAAUAUGAUGGUUCAGCUGUGCUGUGUACCAACAAGGGUGACGGUAACCAAGCCAUGUCUUGGUGUGGUGAAUGUGAAGCCCUCUUGUGUGAGCACUGCCAAGCAGGUCAUGAGGACAUGAAGAUAACUCGAUCUCACAAAGUCGUCCCACUGGAAAACCUGAAGUCAUCAGAUGGAGUGCCGAUUCCUAAGACUGCCUACUGCACUGAACACGUUGAUCACCCUCUGCAGUUGUAUGAUGAGACGUGUGAACAGCGAAUAUGUUUCAAAUGUAGGGAGAACCAUGGCGUCUGCAAGGUGAAUGACAUAACCGAAGCAUAUCAACAUCUGAAGGAGACUGUAUUGGAUGAAGAAAAGAAAGGCCUCGCAAAGAAGAUUGAGACCAUCAGCGCCAUCAGGGAACAGAUACAUACAGUUGUCAAAUUGUCAGAGACGAAAGAAGAGGAAGGGAAAGAUUUCUUGAAACAUACAUUUUCCGAUCUGAGAAAUACGUUAAACCAGCGAGAAGAAGAGCUAUUGCUUGAACUGGGUCAAAGUUUCAAAGCUGUAUAUGAUGUGAAUAACUCCCGGCUUUACGAGUUGGGAAAGAAGGAAGCCAAAUGUGACACAGCCCUUGGCUACUGUCAGAAAUUCGCUGAUAUGUCCAGUGUUGAUGCAAUCCUAAAUGCCAAAAAGACAGUUCUUUCCAGAACCAGUGGAUGCAUUGCUGCCAAGGUUUCCCAAGUGAGUGAAAGAGAAUCUUCAAUAACUCUGUCAAGAAAGGAUCUUACUGAUUUGAAGCAAUCGAUUUCUUCUUUUGGCGAGUACUACGUACCCAUGGAUCCUCAGGCAGAAAGCCAGCAUCACCCAGAGGGAUCUACUAUCAAUGCUAUGAAAGGGAAUAUAAAGAGACUUGAAGCAGAUAACGUGUCACUCCUUGAGUGCGCGUGUCCGAUGUUGCUGUCCACUUCCUUCGCAUGCCAGACGUCUCCUUCCCUGUGCCACUUCUUUGUAAGUACACCACUGAAGUAUGACAAAGACAAAGUCAAUCUCGACAAAGUCCACAUCAACACAGAAGGAGACCUUGUCGACAGGAAGUCGUUCACCAGAGUUGCAGGGAAGGGGAGACUGAAGAAGUACUGGGGCACAUGCAGUACUGCCCCCCUCUCCCAGGAUGGCUGUCCCCAGUACUGGGAGGUGGAGAACAGGGUCAGUCUGGACAAACUACUCUCAGAGAACCUGCUCAUCCUGGAGGUUGGAGUAUGUAGGGUGGAGCAGAGGGACGUGAGUCAUUCUAUAGGUGGACGUCCUCACUCCUACUGUAUGAUCGUCUCCUGCUGUCCUAUACACGGCGGGAUAUGCAGGAAGAUAGGGAAGGAGGGGAAGCGUGUGCUGUGUCUGCCUGACACUCUCCCCAACACAGCACCACACACACUACAUUACGGUGUUGUCUAUGAUGACGCCAGGAAGAAGAUUGUCUUCAUUGACGUGAAGGAGAAGAAAGUCAUGUCGACGUUAGACAAUGUAGACUGUAGUGAACCACUGUGGCCGAUGUUCGGGGUGUAUAACUCAGGUGAUGUCACAGUCAGCAUGAAACUUGUAGUUGGCAGCGACAUCAGCAUGACGGAGGAGAAAAAAGCGAUGAUUGUCAAGGCGCUGUCGUGAUGUCGUGACGUUAGAAAAAUGUUCAUGAUAAUGAUCAAUAAACAUAGAGCUGUAGAUAGUGAAUACGCACUGCCGGGCCGGACUUCUCAAAAAGGUGGCUCUUGACUGAGUGGCCUGCUCGAGCGGCCGGCCGGUUUACUUUGAAAAAGCACAAGACCUUUACAUGGAAGAAGGUAUAAACAGGCGGGAUAAAUUAUAUGAGAGUAUAUAUACAAUGACAUAAUAAAUUCUACUGACCCCAAAGAACAAAUGUCACUGGUAACUGAAAUAGUCAAAAUGAAGCAUCUGCUAUUUCCAUGAUACCGACAAUCAAUCUGACGGUGGCAGGCACCAUUUCACUGCACAAGAAUGAAUUGACUGAGCCGUUCGUAAAAUCACUUAGAUGAACGCGUUUGGCAGGUAGAUUUUGUGAACAUUGUUUAAAUGCUUUGAUUAACUUCACACAUAAGAUUCGAGGACGGAAAUUGGGUAUCAUGUGUACAUAUUUGUGUUAUCACAGCUCGCAAGGAUGUACUUGUAAGUAACUUAAAAAAUAAGUUCAUAAUUUGAUAAAAAUACAUGGAAAAUG